GCGCGUGUAGUUUAAGGGUAAAAUCCAUUGUUCCCAUUUAGGAUUCCAAUGGGCUCCGGGUUCGAGUCCCGGCGCGCGCA